rnacentral:rRNA from 1 species
AACGAACGCUGGCGGCAUGCCUAACACAUGCAAGUCGAACGAGACCUUCGGGUCUAGUGGCGCACGGGUGCGUAACGCGUGGGAAUCUGCCCUUGGGUUCGGAAUAACUUCGGGAAACUGAAGCUAAUACCGGAUGAUGACGUAAGUCCAAAGAUUUAUCGCUUCGGGAGGGGCCUGCGUCCGAUUAGCUAGUUGGUGAGGUAAAUGCUCACCAAGGCGACGAUCGGUAGCUGGUUUGAGAGGAUGACCAGUCACACUGGGACUGAGAUACGGCCCAGACUCCUACGGGAGGCAGCAGUAAGGAAUCUUCCACAAUGGGGGCAACCCUGAUGGAGCAAUACCGCGUGCAGGAUGAAGCGUUUCGGCGUGUAAACUGCUUUUAUCUGUGAUGAUUAUGACAGUAGCAGAAGAAUAAGGAUCGGCUAACUACGUGCCAGCAGCCGCGGUAAAGUCGUACGAU